rnacentral:tRNA from 1 species
UCCCUUCUAGCUCAGUUGGAAGAGCGCGCGGCUGUUAACUGCGAGGUAGUGGGAUCGAAACCCACGAGGGGAG